CAAAUUGAGAGUUUGAUCCUGGCUCAGGACGAACGCUGGCGGCGUGCCUAAUACAUGCAAGUCGAGCGAGCUGAAUUCAAAGAUCCCUUCGGGGUGAUUUGUUGGACGCUAGCGGCGGAUGGGUGAGUAACACGUGGGCAAUCUGCCCUAAAGACUGGGAUACCACUUGGAAACAGGUGCUAAUACCGGAUAACAACAUGAAUCGCAUGAUUCAAGUUUGAAAGGCGGCGUAAGCU
rnacentral:rRNA from 1 species